rnacentral:rRNA from 1 species
UACGUAGGCAGCGAGCGUUGUUCGGAGUUACUGGGCGUAAAGGGUGUGUAGGCGGUUUUUUAAGUUUGGUGUGAAAUCUCCCGGCUCAACCGGGAGGGUGCGCCGAAUACUGAGGGACUAGAGUGCGGGAGAGGAAAGUGGAAUUCCUGGUGUAGCGGUGAAAUGCGUAGAUAUCAGGAGGAACACCGGUGGUGUAGACGGCUUUCUGGACCGUAACUGACGCUGAGACACGAAAGCGUGGGUAGCAAACAGG